GACGAACGCUGGCGGCGUGCUUAACACAUGCAAGUCGAACGGAAAGGCCCUGCUUUUGUGGGGUGCUCGAGUGGCGAACGGGUGAGUAACACGUGAGUAACCUGCCCAUGACUUUGGGAUAACUUCAGGAAACUGGGGCUAAUACCGGAUAGGAGCUCCUGCUGCAUGGUGGGGGUUGGAAAGUUUCGGCGGUUGGGGAUGGACUCGCGGCUUAUCAGCUUGUUGGUGGGGUAGUGGCUUACCAAGGCUUUGACGGGUAGCCGGCCUGAGAGGGUGACCGGCCACAUUGGGACUGUGAUACGGCCCAGACUCCUACGGGAGGCAGCGGUGGGGAAUAUUGCACAAUGGGCGGGAGCGUGAUGCAGCACCGCCGCGUGCGGGAUGACGGCCUUCGGGGUGUAAACCGCUUUCGCCUGUGACGAAGCGUGAGUGACGGUAAUGGGUAAAGAAGCACCGGCUAACUACGUG
rnacentral:rRNA from 1 species